GCAGAUAUAGUCGAAUGGUAAAAUUUCUCUUUGCCAAGGAGAAGACGCGGGUUCGAUUCCCUCUGCCCUGCA
rnacentral:tRNA from 2 species